CAUAAGAGGAUAUUAGACUUGUUUUUCUAUGCAUAUGAGAAUUUUGAGAUCAAUCGAACGGUGCAAAAGAGAGUUAUUGGCUUUGGAAGAUUGGCAUGAAGAUUGGAGAAGGAGGCUGGCCAAUACUCGAGCACAUUUUUGAGAAUAUCGUCAAUUUGGUAACUCCGAUCCUUAUCAAUUUUUUUUUUGCUUAUUUCUAACUUAUGUUUUUAGAAGUAUGUAAAAUUUGAGUUAAGAUCAACGGUUUAUUCAUUACUUAUUGGGAUUUAAAUUUGUUGUAGGAAUUACUAGGAUUUGGUUUAGGGUUUGGAUUAAGAUUUGAUUUAGAGUUUGGGAUUUGGUUUAGGGUUUAGGAUUUGGAUUAGGGUUUGAUUUAGGAUUUAGGAUUUAGGGUUUGGAUUAGGAUUUGAUUAGGGAUUAAGGUUUGAUUAGGAUUUAGUUUAGGAUUUAGGGUUUGUCUAGGGUUUGAUUAAGGUUGGAUUAGGAUUAGGAUUUGGUUAGAAUUUAAGGUUCUAUUAGAUUUUUGUUAGGGUUUGACUAAGUUUUUU
rnacentral:lncRNA from 1 species